rnacentral:rRNA from 1 species
AAGUUUCCUUCGGGAAACGGAUUAGCGGCGGACGGGUGAGUAACACGUGGGCAACCUGCCUUAUAGAGGGGAAUUGCCUUCCGAAAGGAAGAUUAAUACCGGAUAAUAUUAUCGAAUGGCAUCAUUUGAUAAUCAAAGGAGCAAUCCGCUAUAAGAUGGGCCCGCGUCGCAUUAGUUAGUUGGUGGGGUAAUGGCCCACCAAGACGACGAUGCGUAGCCGACCUGAGAGGGUGAUCGGCCACAUUGGGACUGAGACACGGCCCAGACUCCUACGGGAGGCAGCAGUGGGGAAUAUUGCACAAUGGGGGAAACCCUGAUGCAGCAACGCCGCGUGAGCGAUGAAGGUCUUCGGAUCGUAAAGCUCUGUCUUUAGGGAUGAUAAUGACAGUACCUAAGGAGGAAGCCACGGCUAACUACGUGCCAGCAGCCGCGGUAAUACGUAGGUGGCAAGCGUUAUCCGGAAUUAUUGGGCGUAAAGGGAGCGUAGGCGGAUAUUUAAGUGGGAUGUGAAAUACAUGAGCUCAACUCGUGUGCUGCAUUCCAAACUGGAUAUCUAGAGUGCAGGAGAGGAGAGUGGAAUUCCUAGUGUAGCGGUGAAAUGCGUAGAGAUUAGGAAGAACACCAGUGGCGAAGGCGACUCUCUGGACUGUAACUGACGCUGAGGCUCGAAAGCGUGGGGAGCGAACAGGAUUAGAUACCCUGGUAGUCCACGCCGUAAACGAUGAA